rnacentral:ncRNA from 2 species
AAAUUGACCCCCGUCACGGGUGAACGGGAAGUCCGGUGAAAGUCCGGCGCUGUCCUCGCAACCGUGAGCAGGAGUUUUUCUGGCUUUAACCACUGGAGAGUAUGGGUGAAAAGCUCCCUCUCUGGGAAGGUUAAAGCCUAUUUAACCCUGCAAGCCGGGAGACCGGCCCGUGAUGGGUAGGAGAA